CGCGUAGGCGGACUUUCAAGUCGGAUGUGAAAACUGGUGGCUCAACUGCCAGCCUGCAUCCGAUACUGUUGGUCUUGAGUACAUGAGAGGAAAGCGGAAUUCCAGGUGUAGCGGUGGAAUGCGUAGAUAUCUGGAAGAACACCAGUAGCGAAGGCGGCUUUCUGGCGUGAUACUGACGCUGAAGCGCGAAGGCUAGGGGAGCAAACAGGAUUAGAUACCCUGGUAGUCC
rnacentral:rRNA from 1 species